AUUGAACGCUGGCGGCAUGCCUUACACAUGCAAGUCGAACGGCAGCACGGGUGCUUGCACCUGGUGGCGAGUGGCGAACGGGUGAGUAAUAUAUCGGAACGUACCUUAUUGUGGGGGAUAACGCAGCGAAAGCUGUGCUAAUACCGCAUAAUCCCUAAGGGGGAAAGCGGGGGACCGUAAGGCCUCGCGCAAUUAGAGCGGCCGAUACCUGAUUAGCUAGUUGGUGAGGUAAAGGCUCACCAAGGCAACGAUCAGUAGCUGGUCUGAGAGGACGAUCAGCCACACUGGGACUGAGACACGGCCCAGACUCCUACGGGAUGCAGCAGUGGGGAAUUUUGGACAAUGGGGGCAACCCUGAUCCAGCAAUGCCGCGUGAGUGAAGAAGGCCUUCGGGUUGUAAAGCUCUUUUGUCAGGGAAGAAACAGCAGCUCUAACACAGUUUGCGAAUGACGGUACCUGAAGAAUAAGCACCGGCUAACUAUGUGCCAGCAGCCGCAGUAA
rnacentral:rRNA from 1 species